UGCACGAACUUAUGAGAACGAAAUGUUAUAAAUAAUGCAUGAAUUUAUAAGAUUAAGCAUUUUACAGAUGAUUCAAUGAUUAAGCAUGUUAAUUUGUAAAGUUUUAAUAUAUUAUGUGCUUAAUAGGGUGUGGGUCUUGUUCGGGAAGAUGCAGAUAAAACGCCAAUAGCCUGAUGUCAGCUUCUACGGCAUAAGCUUUAAAGAAGAGAGCUAUCAACGCUAAUAAUAAUAAACAUUUCAUAAGCCAUUUUUUUUUUUCUAAAAGGUAUAGGUGCAAUUUUGAACAGUCAUUUCAAU
rnacentral:lncRNA from 1 species